GAAUCCUACGGGGCGCAGCAGUGGAGAAUAUUGGACAAUGGGGGGAACCCUGAUCCAGCGACGCCGCGUGAGUGAAGAAGUAUUUCGGUAUGUAAAGCUCUAUCAGCAGGGAAGAAAGAAAUGACGGUACCUGACUAAGAAGCCCUGGCUAACUACGUGCCAGCAACCGCGGUAAUACGUAGGGGGCAAGCGUUAUCCGGAUUUACUGGGUGUAAAGGGAGCGUAGACGGCGAUGCAAGUCUGAAGUGAAAGGCGGGGGCCCAACCCCUGGACUGCUUUGGAAACUGUAUGGCUGGAGUGCAGGG
rnacentral:rRNA from 1 species